CAAGUCGAGCGAGCUUGCCUAGAUGAAUUUGGUGCUUGCACCAGAUGAAACGAGAUACAAGCGAGCGGCGGACGGGUGAGUAACACGUGGGUAACCUGCCCAAGAGACUGGGAUAACACCUGGAAACAGAUGCUAAUACCGGAUAACAACACUAGACGCAUGUCUAGAGUUUAAAAGAUGGUUCUGCUAUCACUCUUGGAUGGACCUGCGGUGCAUUAGCUAGUUGGUAAGGUAACGGCUUACCAAGGCAAUGAUGCAUAGCCGAGUUGAGAGACUGAUCGGCCACAUUGGGACUGAGACACGGCCCAAACUCCUACGGGAGGCAGCAGUAGGGAAUCUUCCACAAUGGACGCAAGUCUGAUGGAGCAACGCCGCGUGAGUGAAGAAGGGUUUCGGCUCGUAAAGCUCUGUUGGUAGUGAAGAAAGAUAGAGGUAGUAACUGGCCUUUAUUUGACGGUAAUUACUUAGAAAGUCACGGCUAACUACGUGCCAGCAGCCGCGGUAAUACGUAGGUGGCAAGCGUUGUCCGGAUUUAUUGGGCGUAAAGCGAGUGCAGGCGGUUCAAUAAGUCUGAUGUGAAAGCCUUCGGCUCAACCGGAGAAUUGCAUCAGAAACUGUUGAACUUGAGUGCAGAAGAGGAGAGUGGAACUCCAUGUGUAGCGGUGGAAUGCGUAGAUAUAUGGAAGACACCAGUGGCG
rnacentral:rRNA from 1 species